CCGAGGUCCAGGCAGGAUGGUGGCGAGUCCUGGGUGAGCCGAAGCCCGGUGACUCCUUUGCUCUCCCGCCUCUGAGUCCUGAGCUAUUUGUGAGCGCUGUGAUGACAGGACGGCCUGAGGUCAGCACCCUGGAGAUUCCUCGCCAGCCUCUGCCCUUCAGGGUGAGGUGCCCCUGUCCUGAGCCUGUGUCCACUCUGGAGGACCGAGGAGAGCAGGACGCACACCUCACUAUGCUUUGCCUGCUGCUGUGUCUCCAACAUAUGGCCCUGAGUAUGGGCACAGCAGAUGAGUGAGCACAUCUCUUCCCUCUGCCACCUGCACUCUGCAAGAAGUCAGGUUCAGAGCACUGCCCUCCUUCGAGCUGGAAAGGCUCCUGGGAGGAGGGUGGGGCUGUGGCUUCAUACUCCAGCCGGGGAAGGCUCUGGAAUGCUUUAGAGCUUCUGCCUUAAGAAGAAAAUGUAACCAAAGACUGCUGUGAAAGGGUUCAUCACAUUUAUGGAUCAACAACUAGGGCUGACAAGUCAGUGCAUCUGGGCCAGGGCCACCUUGGGAGAUGUCAGCCUAGCAGGGGCUCAGGCCAAGGGUCCCGCCCUGCCGCUCGCUGCCAGCAUGGGGCUCUGUGACUGGGUUGCCCAGCCAGAUUGAGGGCGGUGGACCAGGGGCUGGGGAUUUAGCUCAGUGGCAUAAGUGCCUGCCUUGAAAGCAGGCAGUCGUGAGUUCCAUCCCUGGUACCAAUAAAAACGAAAAAAAAAAAAAAAAAAAAAAAA